rnacentral:rRNA from 1 species
UACGGGGGGAGCAAGCGUUGUUCGGAUUUACUGGGCGUAAAGGGCGCGUAGGCGGCCAGCACAAGUCAGUUGUGAAAUCUCCGGGCUUAACUCGGAAAGGUCAACUGAUACUGUGCGACUAGAGUGCAGAAGGGGCAACUGGAAUUCUCGGUGUAGCGGUGAAAUGCGUAGAUAUCGAGAGGAACACCUGCGGCGAAGGCGGGUUGCUGGGCUGACACUGACGCUGAGGCACGAAGGCCAGGGGAGCAAACGGG